rnacentral:rRNA from 1 species
UACAGAGGGGGCAAGCGUUGUUCGGAAUUACUGGGCGUAAAGCGCGGGCAGGCGGCUCGAUGCGUCUGAUGUGAAAUCUCCUCGCUCAACGGGGAGAGGCCAUUGGAAACGGUCGGGCUGGAGGGCAGUAGAGGCAGGCGGAAUUCCGGGUGGAGUGGUGAAAUGCGUAGAGAUCCGGAGGAACACCAGAGGCGAAGGCGGCCUGCUGGGCUGCACCUGACGCUGAGCCGCGAAAGCCAGGGGAGCGAACGGG